CAACGGGAUCACGUGAGCGCAUCAUUUGUGUAUAAAAACUUUUUGCAGUCUCUGUUAUGAUUUUCAAGAUGGCGGCUGUCAAUGUCUGGAGUAUGAAGUUGCUCUUUUCUCUUUUAAAGAUGUAUUUAGCUUUCUGAAAAAUCUACUGCAAAGUUAUAAUGGCGGCUUCAAGAUUCUGAUAGGUUAUUGCAACUUCUCUUGUUUCUCCAGAGUGUUCUUCAUGAAUUAUUCAAGAAUUAAAACCAGUUUGCCAUGGUAUGACUUUUGCGUACCUCUCAGGAGAAUAGACUACAUUCUAUUGCUAUGAAACUACAAUAAGGAGACCCUUUACAUGUUUUUACAUUGUUUAAAGUUGUUUUUGAAUUUUCCCUGUUGCUGGUUUUUUAGUUAUAACAAUUUACAUUCAGCCAUUUUGCUAAGAUGCCA